rnacentral:hammerhead_ribozyme from 1 species
AAGCGAAACACGGCAUACGUGCCGUGUCUGCCAGUCGUUGUGGACUGGUACUGACGAGCAGCGGAGA